CCAAAGGUGAGCACUGUUCUUAGGGCUUGGACCAGGCCCCCCGGCCCAUGCCACAAAUCAAAUCAGGACACAUGACCAGUGAAAGUGUUUAAUAGUUAAAUUAUUUAAAUAGACUUUUCAAUUUCCAUGGGAAAUCAUAAUCGUAUCCAUUUUUGCAAGAGCAGGAAUAAAAAGAGUGCACACCCCUUAGAGGGAAUGAAGAACUAGCACUGCACACUGUCAACAGUCACUGCUGGGAUGACCAACGGGGAACACGGAUGAACUCGGCACACACCCUGUACUCAGGCUGGAAGCAAAAGGCAAAGCCAACACCACUGGCGGAUAUGAAAGGCAGGGAACUGGACGGCAACACUCAGAGAAAAGCCAGCCCCUCGCAAGGGAUGCAGAGGAACUCAAAGGAUGAGCCGCGGAAGCACGGACGGCCUCAGCUUGGCAGUUUCCGAACCACUACUCUGCUCUUGCCUCCCCCUUGCAAUUCGUUCCGCUUCCCUCAAAGGGACGCUGUGCAUGCGAAGUGUGGAGGACUGUGACCAGGGCUACAGUCUUUCCAAAGACAGCAUGGAGCAUGGCUCUCGGCCUCUGCCUGAAUUGUAAAGACUCACUCAGAAAAGCAGACCCCUCGGCCCUGAGGUACCCCCAGGCCAGAGCUGUGCUGCCUACCCACCCUUCUGGGGCUUAGGCCCUGCCCUCAGCCCAUUCCUGGGUGCUGGACUGCACCACACCAAGAAAUGCUCCAGCGGCUCCUUCCCACCAUGCAGCAGCACCCGUUAGAAAACUCAAGAGUCAGCCCCAGGCCUAGCAGAGUCUUCUACAGAGGGAAACAUCUUUGGUCAGCUUGGUGCUUGCAGGACGUUGGCAUCCGGGGCCUGUGACGGAGGCUGCUGCCCAUCGGCAAGGGCAGCAGCUGCUUCUGGAGUCAAAGUGGAAAAUCUCACCAGCGUGGCCACAUGGGCUGGCACGCAGGCAUCCCACCUGUCCGCCCGGCACACAAAGAGGCCGUUUCUGUUUCUCUGGAGGCCAGGCUGCCUGGCACCAUUGCUGGCAUCUGCUAACUGAGCGGGGGCCCUCCAUUGAGGAAGUAGGUCAUCAUCUCGCCUUUGCCCUUGACCUUGACCACACCCCGGCACUCCAGCUGGUAUGUGUUGGCAGCCAGCACCUGGUACAUGUCUGUGGUGACCUAAGGAGGUAAAAGAGGAGAGAGGAUGGACCACAGGUGACCUGAGCCGUGGAUCUGCGCUCAGGGUGGAGCCGCCCUCUGACAGCUCAACCCUGCCAUUGCCCUUGACACUGGGUUGGAGAGCAGCCCCUUCACUUCGGGGGCUUCUAGGGUCUGACAGCCCCUCAUCUAUGGAAGCGCUAGUUAGAAAGGAGAAUGAUGACAGCUAUGCCAGGCACUGUGACAAGCACCUCACGUGUUAUUUCAGCACUACUCAAAGUGUGGUCUGUGGACCGACACAGGCUAUGCGCUGUCUGUCACCAGCCCACAAUAAGACAGGUACAGAAAUUUACAGUAUGGGCUUAGAAACCGUUACGGCAAUCUGACAUGCCACAACACACAAGUAGGAAUCAGAGUAUUUUACAAAACGAUCCCUUCAUGCCAGAUUCGAAGUAUUUUUUACAACUGGCAUUUCAUCACAGAAUCCUCAAGAGAAGAAGAAAACACCGAACAAAGCAGUUACUAUUACAAAAACAAUGUAAGGACAAAAAGAACUGCAAAAAUACCUUGAACUUUACAGAACGACAAAUUCAGCGCUGUAAUUCUGAAACCAUCUCGUGUAUGCAGUAGGAUGGAGCAAAUGAGUGAGUACGUGGAUGUAUAUGGGCUUUCUUUGUACUAUGCUUUCAAAGCCCUGGUGGCGCACUGGAUAAGAGCUCAGGGGCUAACCAACAGGUCAGCAGUUUGAAUCCACCAGCCGCUCCUUGGAAAUCCUACUCUGUUCUAUAGGGCUCCUGUGAGUUGGAUCGA